CUUACCCUGCCACUGUAUCUUAUGAUACUAACACAGCGGCAGAGCAACUAAAGGCGACGGAAGACUUAGUUUCAUUGUAUUUGACGCCUGAGGACGAUUUCACACAGUCAUCCCCGUGGAGCAGAAACGUAUGUCCACACAAGCCUAAGAAGGAAUCUAAGAAGAGAUCUAUUGAUCCUGUGAAGCCCUACACGGACUGUUUCCCACCCAAAAGAAGAUGCCCUUCCUUGGUUCCAGACUCUCCUUACACGGGCACUGUAUCUGCAGAGCCUAACACCACUGAGAGAGCAGCUAACGGCGAGCGAAGACUUAGAGUCCUUGCAUUGGUCGUCGUCUAGUACACAAACGCCCUACCAGCCACCAAGUGUCUCCAUUGAGAGGGAACAAAAGGAUUCCCCUUUACAAAAGACCUCUGAAGAGUCCUUGCAUUGGUUGUCGUCUAGUACACCAACGCCCUACCAGCCACCAAGUGCCCUACCAGCCACCAAGUGUCUCCAUUGAGAGGGAACAAAAGAC